rnacentral:lncRNA from 1 species
UUUUUUUGAAACCAGGGGUAUUUUGGGAAUUUCCUUGAAAAAGUGGGUUAUUUUUGUAAAAAUUUCUCCUAACCACCAUGAUCUGUGUUCGAGUCUGCACAUCCCUUUCCCUUAUUAUUUUUGUGAUUUUUACAUUCUUUUCCAUUUUGCAAUGUUUUUAUUAUAUAUAUUAUGAUGGCCAUUGCUAUAACAUAUUGAAAGGUCAUGGUGGAGUAGCAUCCCUACCACCAUGACCUAGGUUCCACCCUUACUAGCCACACUUUCACCAUUUUUGUGUUUUUCUUUCCAUUUUCUAUACUUUUGUUUUGUUUUUUUGGUAUUUUUCUUAACCAUUUAAAUUGUCAUUUUUUUAAAUUUUUGUAGCAUGUAUUUCUUGCUACUAACACUACAUUUACAAUUUUAUUUUUUGUAU